GCUAAUAUUCGGGUUGGGUAUGGGUCGGGUCGGGUUGGGUCGAUUCGAGUUUCGGAUCAACUUCAGGUCAGGUAUCGGGUCAAGUUCGGGUCGGGUCAAUUUUGGGUCAAGUAUGUUCGGGUCAUAUUUAGCUCAGGUCAAAAUCUGGUCGGGUCAUGUUCGGGUUGUUUCAUUUGUGAAUCAAGCUCAAAUGAAUAAUUUUAUACGGAGUAUAUAUUUUGUUAUUGUUAUAAUAAAAACUAUCAAUUCAGUUUAUGAGCUUAGCUACGGUUGAAGAUGAACAAUUUGAGUUACUUUUGGUACAAGACAUUUUAAGUUCAAUUAUAAGGUAAUUUUAGUUCAAGAUAUUUCGAGUAUCAGGUUUGUUCGGGUCAAUUUUGGGUAUCGGGUCUGUUCGGGUCAAACACUUUGGGUCUAUUUCGGGUCGGGUCAGUUCGGGUGUUGGGUCAGGAUUAGGUCAACUUCAUUUUCGGGUCGGGUAUGGGUAUGGGUCGGGUCGGGUCAAUUUUGGGUUUCGGGUCAUUUUCGGGUCAAUGUUUUUGAGUCAGUUUCGGGUCAUGGGCCCACUUGCUAGUUUCGGGUCAAUGUUUUCUAUCAUUCGGGUUUAGGGUCAAUGUUUUCUAUCAUUCAGGUUCGGUCAUUAGGUCUGGGUUAGAAUUGUUCAAUUCCAUUUAUUUUAAUCGCUCCAUUUGAACUUUUUCCUUAUUUAGACAUGUUACUUCUUUUGUAUGUGUUUUAUAUGUAAAACAUUAAAAAAAUAUAAUUGUAUAAGAUUUUAUUUUUAUACUUUUCCUCAUCUUGAAUUCCCUAUUUAUCCUAGGAUUAUUUGGUUUUUAAGUUUUUACCUCUCUUAUGUUACUUUUUUACAUUUAAUUGCAGGUCGACAAUUUUUUUGUUUUAAUACUGGGAAUAAUAUCAAUAAAUCCGGUAAUCAAACCUCUGGUGGCAUCAACUUCCACUUCAUGGAGGUUUACAAUUUUCAUUAUGGCUGCCAGAAUCUAAAACAUAGGCUGGAUAAAGCCAAAUUUGAAUUUACUGAUAUUGAAGCUGUAAGACAGAUUCCAGAAGCAGAGAACACUGUUCUACUGAAAAUAACAGACCCAGAUAAUGAUGGACAGGCCUAAUGAUUGGUUGCUUAGUUCACUUACAGUAGCUUUACCCUAGUCGACGACUUGGCAUCUCUGAACAUAGUUAUUUAUGGCCUUAUGGGGCAAUGGACACUUUGUUAUGCCUCCCUGGCUCCCUGCUGUUCCAGGCAUGUCUGGUGGCAAACAAAUUUUCAGUUUUAGUACUGGGAAUAAUCACAAUGAAUCUGGUAUACUAAAGUCUGGGAGCAUCGACUUCUGCUUCAAGCAGGUUUAUAACACUUACUACAGCUACCAAAAUUCAAAAGAAACGCUUAGUGAAGCCAAAUUUGAUAUUAGAACUGAGGAAUGGAUUCCUAAAGAAAAGAACGUUAUGCUGGAGGAAAUGGCAGAUUUAAUUUGGAGGCCUUUCUGUAUAGAUUUUACCUACAACAUGUUCCACAACUUUCUCUGAUAACAGCUGCAAUCCCAUUCAUGGAUGUAAAUUCUCUUACGGAGAUGUUAGUAUACUAGUUUGAACAGAGGGGGGUAUCCACUUUCAAAGAAUUUUAGGGUGAUUUCAAGGGUGACUGUCCUGACUACGGGUGGUGACAAGGAUCUGGCUAGAGAUUUUGCUGAUUUCAGACUCCAGAUUUGCUAUUUUAUGAAUGAGAAUUUGGUGGAUAUAGCCAAAAAUAGGAUCUAUUGUGCUGAUUUGAACCAAAAUCUCAGGUAUGUCUGGUGGCCAGCAAUUUUUCAGUUUUAAUACCGGAAACAAUUACAAUGUAUCUGGUACACAAAUUUGUGGGGGUAUCAAUUUUCGUUUCAAGCAGGGUGGGUGUGCUUUGGAUAUUUUUUAUUUUUAUUUGAAAAAUGUUACACUGAAUGGGAUCGUUGGUAGCUUGAUGAACUAAAACUUAGGUGCCGGCGAGUCUACUCCUACAAGAGCCUUCAAUUCGACAUCCUCGACUCACAACCUAAAUCUGGACACUCACAAAUUCGGACCCAUUUGACUAUAUUGGAUUUUUUACCUUCGGUUUUUUACCAACAUUGUAUUGGCUCAACGGUAAGAAAGGAAUAUUCUAACCUGAAGUUGGAGCUCAAUCCCCACUAAGGAUACUUUGAAAUGGAGAUCCUCCUUAUCCUCUCCCCUCCCCUCAAAGUAUCUAGCUUGUUAACAUGGGUUGGCUUGAACUGUGAGGGGUUUUGGAUUGGUAUAAUAACUAUUAUUUUUAACUAGCCAAAAGAAAAAGAAAAAAAAAAAAGUAUACAAGUGCUAUUAACCAUGCUCUUACUUGCCUAUUCUAGUUAAAUAAUUUUACUCUUGUUUUAGUUUGUGAUACAGACUGAGCCUAUGUAAAAAGGAUAUUAAAAGGGCUUGUCCCAAAAAAAAAAAAGGAAAUUAUAAGGGGGUAAGAAGUUAUACUAGUGACUUUUGUGCUUCUACUACCUCCGUUAACAGUUAUUUGGAACGAUUUGACAUAAAGUAGAGAGGAAAAAUGUCCCAUCGUUGCAAAUAACUGUUAACGGAGGUAAUAUAUUAAUUUUUCUAGCUUACUACUAGUGAUCUUAUGAAAAUCUUGACUUCAAUAUAUAUGCUUUCAAGUGUGUUAACUGUUGACAAAUUUGUUCUCGAUAGAAAAUCAAGAGUUCCGAAUUGCUAACGUUUGUUAAAAGUAUAAACAAGGUGUAAGUUUACUAGUGAAUGUAGUGAUUAACCUUAAGAAUUAUUAUUAUUACUAAUGCUUGAAUUUUGAAUUUCUUGCAGGUUAACAAUGUGUUUGUCACAUGUACUUGUUUGAAUGACAAGAAGGUUAAAGCCAAGGUUGAGCAUAAAGACAUCGACAAAUGACCCUACUAGGUCAAUUUGGACAGAUUUAUAGAGUAGUUACAGCCUUCUAUAGCUCUAUGUAUACACCCUGUAUAUUGGUCUUUUUCUAGAUCUAUGAAAAUUUAAUUUCAAUGGCAAUAUGUGUACAAAUUAGAAAUACAUUUGUGUAUAGUAUUAGUUAUCACAUUAGUACUAUAUACCUAGCCCAUAAAACCCAAACCAUUUAUGUAGUAUAUAUAUAAAUUUAAGUUCAAAGUUGUAACUUUAAACCAUUUAGGAAAGGCCAAAAUGUAAAGUUGUAGCUUGUACAAACAAUGUAAAUUAUAUGAUAUUCAAAUACAACAAGUUUAGACAUGCAA